GACGAAGGAUGCAAGCGUUAUCCGGAUUCAUUGGGUUUAAAGGGAGCGUAGGUGGCCUUAUAAGUCAGUGGUGAAAUCCCGCAGCUUAACUGUGGAAUUGCCAUUGAUACUGUAGGGCUUGAGUACAGAUGCCGUUGGCGGAAUAUGACAUGUAGUGGUGAAAUACAUAGAGAUGUCAUAGAACACCGAUUGCGAAGGCAGCUGACGAAACUGUAACUGACACUGAGGCUCGAAAGUGCGGGGAUCGAAACAGGAGU
rnacentral:rRNA from 1 species